CCUACGGGAGGCAGCAGUGAGGAAUAUUGGUCAAUGGGCGGGAGCCUGAACCAGCCAAGCCGCGUGAAGGAAGAAGGCGCCAGGCGUCGUAAACUUCUUUUGUCGGGGAACAAAGGGCGCCACGCGUGGCGUUGUGAGUGUACCCGAAGAAAAAGCAUCGGCUAACUCCGUGCCAGCAGCCGCGGUAAUACGGAGGAUGCGAGCGUUGUCCGGAAUUACUGGGUGUAAAGGGAGCGCAGGCGGAUUGACAAGUUGGGAGUGAAAACUACGGGCUCAACCCGUAACCUGCUUUCAAAACUGUCAGU
rnacentral:rRNA from 1 species